GGUGGGGUACCAGAGCGGCCAAAUGGAGCAGACUGUAAAUCUGCCGGCGUAAGCCUACGUAGGUUCGAAUCCUACCCCCACCA
rnacentral:tRNA from 1 species